GGACAUUUCUAGUCGACUGUUGCGCGUGCGCGCGCUGUGACGUUCCCUACGCGGUCGGGCGUUGGGUUUCGCGGCGCUCGCCGCACUGGUUGUUCAGCACCUUCGGUCCGGUUGAGGUUGUCAAGUCGGACCAAACAGGUUGUUUCUCUGCAGUUUCCAACAUGGCAGGGAGGUUUAAUAGACAUGGAUAAGAAGUCCACUCACAGAAAUCCUGAAGAUGCCAGGGCUGGCAAAUAUGAAGGUAAACACAAACGAAAGAAAAGAAGAAAGCAAAACCAAAACCAGCACCGAUCCCGACAUAGAUCAGUGACGUCUUUUUCUUCAGAUGAUCCUAUGUUUCCUUCUUCCUCAUCAUCGUCUUCAGGAAGCCAGACAGAUUCAAGUAUUGAAGAUGCUGCCAAGGGAAAAAUUAAGAAGAAGAGAAGAGAGAAAACAAAUAAAUGGGAAAAAAGAAAGGUGCGGUGAAACAUCAAUCGGCUUGGUCCACAGAUAAGCGUGUUCAACUCCCCGACGAGUGGACAAAAUAUGAAACACCAAGAAAAAGAGAAGGAAAAAAAGGAGGAAACAACCACAUAUGUCACCUUUCCAAGAGGGACUGAAACUGGGCUGACCCUUUUGAUUUCCAAGCUCAGCGUUUUGGUGUAAGGCGGCCAAAGAAGGAUGCGGAGCCCAGCACUGUGAAGCCUACAAAAACAUUGAUGCGCUGGCUUGGGGAUUUGAAUUUGAACAUCUUUCACACUAAGUUCAGACUCAUGAAACCAAUCUUCAGAUGCUCUGUAAACCACAUAAUAAAGAGUUUGGAAAUUA
rnacentral:lncRNA from 1 species